ACGGGAACAGCUUCUCGCGAGAGAAGUCGGGAGGCGGCGCGCGGGGGCGACCGUGAGGGAAGGAGGGGGCGAGGCCUCCCCGUUCCCUCUCCCAUUCCUUGUCCCGCUCCAAUUUCCUUCCCAUUUCCUGCCCCUUCCCGCCUGCCUCAGCCCGGCCGCAGGGCAGCGCCGACGAGCCGUUCUCCGAGCGGCGCUGGAGGCCACGGGCUCUUCCCUGCGGGGCAGUGCCCUGUGGUCACUUGCGGGUCCCUCUAGCGUAGCAGAGCUUUGUGUUCCUGAGGGACAGCGCUGCCACUCCCCACACGCAGAGACGGGAGUGGCGAGUCCUGGGGCGGCCGCUCCCUGCUGCGCGGCGGGGCCGGUGUCGCAGCGAGUGACCCGGUUUGUGAGGGGAAGCCUCGCACGGGGAUUGAGGGCCUGAGUUGAUUGAGGGUUGUUGAGGAAAUCCAUCCUUCACAUUUCAUCCUGUUUCAUCAGCAUCCCCCCCGCCGUCCCCUGGCUGUGCAUGCGCUCACGCAAGGUUAGUCCUCGCUAACCUUUCUCUGUACAACCGAGUCCCUGAUGUUCUGUACUGUACAAACCAUACGAGUGUGGAUUUUAAAAAACAUCAGUUUUGUAUUCAAGAUUUAUAGUUAACUCUCAAAAUAAUGAGUAAAGAACCCACCCCAGCAAGGGUUCUUUGCAGCAAAAUAAUUUAAAAGUAGGUAGGAAGCUUAUCUCCAAAGGCAGGACUGAGACACCUGUGAGCUUGGUGUGCAGAGGGCACAAACUGCUGGGCUAAUGGCAAACAGAGUUAGCUUAGGUUUCAAAGUUUACUGUGUCGGGUGUUGAUUCUAUUUGGGAAGAAAACAGAAAAAAGACACUGUUACCUCAUAGCUGGCUGAUAAAUACAUCUCCCUUACAAGCAAGUAAACAUUUGGGAAGACCUAAGUGACUCAUACCAUUUCUGUAGGAAAGUGAGAAGAAAACUAUUUGAAAGCUGUUCCAUCUCUCAUGACAGAAGUGAGUACAGAAUAAGGAGGUGUGAAUUGCUUCUGUCUCUGUGCAAGAACGAUGAAGCAGCGAGGUACCAAUGAGACACCUCCCUCACAAAAACAAGGAAUAAAUGCUUCCAGUUGUGUGGUGUUUCCUGCAAAAUGGACAAGGCUGCUACCUGGUGCUGUCCCGACUCCCAGCGCAUUUCAGGUGGCAGGAUAACAUAACCAGGGUGAGAAAAGCUCUCUGAAAACACUACAGCUGCUGAUAAUGGAAGCUAUUCUGAAGUGUUAAGAAAAGAAAGUCACAAAAGCUGGAGUCCACCUGGUCUCCUUGUGAUUCACAUAGACUGAAGAAAGACUGAAGUAUGCAACAUCUACACCAAAACUGAAGUUUUGAACCCAUCUAGAAAACAGUGGAAAGAAACAUAAUUUCCUACAGGAGGGGCACAGCAAAGAAAGAGGGUUUGUGAUUGUCCGUCCUUCCCUGAAGAACCCGAGGGAUACAGGAUUUGGCACACAGUCAGGGCCUGAGAGGCAGUAACAGCAGACAGAUCACCUUGGCUGUGUGGCAGUUGCCUUGUCCUUGUUUGCAGUGAGAGCCUUGUGGUGCAAGGAUAGAAUGUUCCUGUCAAUCCAGCAGAUGUUCCAGCGUGUCCUCCUUUUGAUUAGGCCUAGGAACGCUAUUUUCCCCCCACAUCCAUAAAUUACUUAUUCCCAUGAAGCGUGACUUCUGGUUUUUAUCACUCAUGUAAACCGUAGUAGAUACAGCCAUGAUAAAUAUUUUAAUAAAUAGGCAUUGUACCAAGCUGCUGAAAACC